rnacentral:rRNA from 1 species
CGUCUAUAUACGUAUAGCAUAUCAAUAAGCGGAGGAAAAGAAACUAACAAGGAUUCCCCUAGUAACGGCGAGUGAAGCGGGAAGAGCUCAAAUUUGAAAUCUUCAAGGUUCUACCUUGACGAAUUGUAGUUUAAAGAAGUGUUUUCUGUUGGAGUUUUGGUAAAAGUUCUUUGGAAUAGGACAUCAUAGAGGGUGAGAAUCCCGUAUUUGACCGUUACUUUCCAGCUGUGUGAUACACUUUCAAAGAGUCGGAUUGUUUGGGAAUGCAGUCCAAAAUGGGUGGUAAAUUUCAUCUAAAGCUAAAUAUUGGCGAGAGACCGAUAGCGAACAAGUACCGUGAGGGAAAGAUGAAAAGAACUUUGAAAAGAGAGUUAAACAGUACGUGAAAUUGUCAAAAGGGAAGCGUUUGACACCAGUGUUGUUUAGUUGAAAAUCAAUUCAAUAAUUUUUGAUUUUGAGUAGUAUUGACUUCAUCAGCUUGCUGCUUUCUUUUCAGAAAUUAUUGAAUGCACUUUUCAGUUAACAAGUCAACAUCAAUUUCUUUUGUUGUAAAAGGGUAAGAGGAAGGUGGCUUACGCUUCGGCGUAAGUGUUUAUAGCCUUUUACCUCUGCAAUCGGAGAGAUUGAGGACAGCAGCGUAGACUCUUCGGGGUUAGAUACACUUGUGCUAAGCUAUAGCCUUGUAUAGACAACUUGUUGACUAUGCUCAGUCAUGUAGCUUACUCGCUUGUGCUAUUUUACCUACGCUUAGGAUGUUGAUAGUCACAGCGUGUA